AAUAUUAAUCUCGUGCUCAUGUUCUUCCGAGUUGUCUGCUUCGUUUUUGUAUAAAAGUUAUCUUGACCACAACUCAAGUCUGAACUCCAGAGAGAGAGAGAGAGACAGAGAAAGAAUAACUAACGAGACAUUGAACUGAAAGAAAGAAAAAUGCAGAGUCUUCAGACUAGAACAGUUCAAGUAGGACAUGUCUCAGAUCUAGCAGGUGAAAGAGAGAUUGCUGAGUUUUUCUCAUUUUCUGGAGAUAUUGAACGGAUCGAGAUCCUUGGUGUUGGGCAGUCAAAGACGGCAUUCGUCACUUUUAAAGAUCCAAAAGCCCUUGAAAUUGCGUUAUUGUUAUCGGGAGCAACGAUUGUAGACCAGAUUGUUAGUAUAUCACCAGUUGAAAAUUAUGCACCAAAAGUGGAAGAACGAGUAAUAACGAUAGUGGAUGACGAGAAUGUACCCAUGGCCCAGGGUGACAACUUAUAUUCGAAUACGGAGACAAGAAGUAACUCUCCUAACAGUGGACGGGUAUACGUCAGUAAAGCUCAAGAUGUUGUUUCAAGUAUGCUGGCUAAGGGUUCAGCCAUUGGUCAAGAAGCUGUAAGUAGGGCAAAAGCAUUUGACGAGAAGCAUCAGUUGAGAGCCAGUGCAUCUGCCAAGGUGGUUUCCUUUGAUCGGAGAGUUGGGCUGACUGAGAAAUUGACAGUUGGAAUCUCUGUGGUCAAUGAGAAAGUAAAGUCUGUGGAUCAAAGAUUGCAGGUGUCGGAUAAAACAUUAGCCGCCAUAACUGCAGCAGAGCGCAAGUUGAAUGACACAGGUUCAGCUGUCAAAACAAGCAGCUUACCUGAUAGUCCGGAGUUCAAUUGAGAGCUUUCUCACCAUAUGCUUUAAGGAAAAGUAUACACGAAAAGCUUGAAAGCAAACAAUAUACAAUUUGAAUAGAUAGGAACAUUCGUGAAGAAGUGAGGCAUUGAUCCAUUUCCUAUAAGAAAGACAUAAUUUAGUAGCCUAUUACUUGCUACAUAUGUGGAUUUGAUGCAGGAGAUUGAUUAUGUCAGAUGCGGACUCUGUAUGCUUAACAAUCGGUCAUUCCCUGUCACCUGUCUGCACAAUAAGUGCAAAGAAAAAAUUUAGUUUCACUAUGUCUCUGUGGCACAUCAUUUCUUGCAGUUAGCCUGGGUGGUGUUGUUUAGAGCAGAUCCAUUGUUCAUUAAUGGAGAUUACAGGAUAGGAGGAGGCUUUUGUAACCCAUGGUACGUAACAGCAGGAGCAGCAUGGUUUAGUGGUGCUUUCAGCAAGGUUGCUAAGGUUGGACAAGUUGCGGGAACAAAAACUAGAGAAAAAUUUCAGCUAGCUGUAUCAAACCUAAAUUCAAAUGACCCUAUUGCUGCAUAAAAUUUCACUGUGCCGAAAAGUUGCUCGUUGGGAAUAUUUUUCCAAGGAAUAUGAUCUAGUACCCCCUUAAAGUCUUCCAACAAUUGAUUAUCGCAAAGUUAGAAGUUUGAAGGUACAUUGUAUACUAGUCAUGAUUGAAGAUUUAUGUGUCUGUGUGUGUGUGUCAUUAGACUGCUGUUAAGGUCUGUGUGGGUAUACAGUAUAAGUUAGUUUAUAAAUUCAUUCCAUUAUUUGUUUGUUUUCUUUUUCAGGGGGGUGGAUAUAUUAUAGUCUUCCCUGCAUUUUUCUGUAUGUAAACAUCACAUUUGUUAAUGAAAACACCUCCGCUUCUUCUAUCAGUU